CUGUAAUCUCCACCACUCGGGUUGCUGAAGCAGGAAGACUGUAAAUUCGAAGCCCCCCUUGACUACAGGAAUGUGUGUAUACCCAGAGGUGUGACAUGAGUCAUGGCACAUCGAUGCAGGUCAUAGGACGAGUUUGCCAGAGUUGCUUCUGUCCUUCCACCGUCUGAAUCUCUGCGAUUUAAUUCAGAUCAUCAAAUUGAUGAUACACUGGAGUCCAACAGGGAAGUCACAGGAUCUACAAGAUAGACCUAACCAAAUACCCACGUCUACCACAGGGCAAGUCAUCCCCUCCUUUCCAGGAAGCUACUUUUAGGUAUGUAUAUAUGAAUGUAGGAGCUCACAGAGGAUAGAAGAGGGCAUCCAUCAGAUUCCCCUGGAAAUUUAGUGAGUUAUGAAAUUCCAACAAGGGUGCUAGGAAUCAAACUGACUCCUGACUCCACUCUUCUGCAGAGCAGAAUGUGCUUGUAACUGCUGGCCCAUCUCUCCAGCAUCUUGAAACAAGUAUUCUAACCUCGCAAUUAAAAAAAGAAAAAGUCUGAGGCAAAUACCCAAAAUAUACAAAGAACCCAAAAAAAUUAGUUAGCAAGAAAACAACCCAAUUACAAAAUGGGGUACAAAUCUCAACAGUGUAUUCUCAAAAGUAGAAACUCAAAUGGCUGAGAGACACUUAAAGAAAUGUUCAACAUCCUUAGCCAUCAAGAAAAUGCAAAACAAAACUUAGAGAGUUCAUCUUACACCUGCCAGAAUGGCUAAGAACAAUAAAAGUGACAGCUCAUGCUGGCAAGGAUACAGAGUAAGGGGAACACUCAUCCAUUGUUGUUGGGAGUGCACACUUGUGGUCAGUGUGGUGGGAAUCAGUGUGGUGGCUCUUCGGGAAGAUGGAAAUUGACCUCAAGAUUCAGCUAUACCAGUAUUGCAUAUACACUCAAAAGGACACUUCAUCCUACCACAGAGACACUUGUUCGAUCGUGUUGUUCAUUGCAGCUCUAUUUCUAAUAGCCAGAAAUUGGCAACAACCUAGAUGCCCCUCAACAGAAGAAUGGAUACUGUGAUGGUUUGUGUAUGCUUGGCU